rfam:Deltaproteobacteria bacterium 13_1_40CM_68_24 13_1_40cm_scaffold_6557, whole genome shotgun sequence.
AACGAAGUCCGCCGCCGUGGUGCCCCCGGUCCGGGGGCCUAGAGGGAAGCCGGUCGAAAGCCGGCGCGGUCCCGCCACUGUAGCCGGGCAGCCAGUCCCACGUAGCCACUCGCGAGCAUGCGGGGAAGGCGGGACGGCGCGCAGCGCGAGUGCGCUGCAGACCCGGGAGCCAGGAAACCUGCCUGGCGGCGCAAAGCGCU